rnacentral:rRNA from 1 species
AUUGAACGCUGGCGGCAGGCUUAACACAUGCAAGUCGAGCGGGGUGAUGGUGCUUGCACUAUCACUUAGCGGCGGACGGGUGAGUAAUGCUUAGGAAUCUGCCUAUUAGUGGGGGACAACAUCUCGAAAGGGAUGCUAAUACCGCAUACGUCCUACGGGAGAAAGCAGGGGAUCACUUGUGACCUUGCGCUAAUAGAUGAGCCUAAGUCGGAUUAGCUAGUUGGUGGGGUAAAGGCCUACCAAGGCGACGAUCUGUAGCGGGUCUGAGAGGAUGAUCCGCCACACUGGGACUGAGACACGGCCCAGACUCCUACGGGAGGCAGCAGUGGGGAAUAUUGGACAAUGGGGGGAACCCUGAUCCAGCCAUGCCGCAUGUGUGAAGAAGGCCUUAUGGUUGUAAAGCACUUUAAGCGAGGAGGAGGCUCUCUUGGUUAAUACCCAAGAUAAGUGGACGUUACUCGCAGAAUAAGCACCGGCUAACUCUGUGCCAGCAGCCGCCGUAAAAC